UAACGAAUCUUCCGCAAUGCACGAAAGUGUGACGGAGCGACGCCGCGUGGAGGACGAAGUUCUUCGGAAUGUAAACUCCUGUCAGGGGAAAGAAAGUUCUGAUCUACCCCAGAGGAAGAGGCGGCUAACUCUGUGCCAGCAGCCGCGGUAAUACAGAGGCCUCGAGCGUUAGACGGAAUCACUGGGCUUAAAGCGUGUGUAGGCGGAAGGGUAAGUACCUUGUGAAAUCCCACGGCUUAACCGUGGAACGGCUUGGUAUACUGCUUUUCUUGAGCAAUCUAGGGGCGAGUGGAACAGAUGGUGGAGCGGUGAAAUGCGUAGAUAUCAUCUGGAACGCCAAUGGUGAAGACAACUCGCUGGGGAUUUGCUGACGCUGAGACACGAAAGCCAGGGGAGCAAACGGGAUUAGAUACCCCCGUAGUCCCUGAGCGGGCUGGCAAGGCGCAU
rnacentral:rRNA from 1 species